rnacentral:rRNA from 1 species
AAAGAUCGAAUGGGGAGAUUCAUCGACGACGAGGCUGGCUUCCGUUGGCGCCGUGAUGCUCCGGAUUAGUUGUUCCGUUUCAACGCGGGAUUUCUAGUUGGCGAGGGUACACAGUCUUCGGCAAAUGUUCCGGUCGCGUAGUCGUGCACUUCUCCCCUGGUAGAACGUCGCGACCCGUUGCGUGUCGGUCUACGGCACGAGCGUUCUCGACUGUCUGCGUCGCCUCGUGCGUUCGCGACAGAGGCUCGUUCGCCCGGCCGGCUGCGUGACGGUACGCUCUGUGAGACGGUAUAGGGCCGCAACUAAACAAUCGCACACCACCCCGUGUGCGUUUUGUGAUUUGCGUCGGGCUCGCCGCAAGCUGCGUUAGUGACACACACCCGUUGGUACGGACCUGGUGCCGGCUUCGGGCCUAACCGGCUGUUGGUUGGCAGAGUUCUCGGACUGGCCAAAAUUAUUGAAAUACCGGUCAGCGACGCUACUGCUUUGGGUACUCUCAGGACCCGUCUUGAAACACGGACCAAGGAGUCUAACAUGUGCGCGAGUCAUUGGGACUUGUAAACCUAAAGGCGUAAUGAAAGUGAAGGUCGACGCUUCGGCGUCGACAGAGGGAGGAUGGGCCGCGUCACGAUGCGGUCUCGCACUCCCGGGGCGUCUCGUUCUCAUUGCGAGGAGAG